UGGGGAAUUUUGGACAAUGGGCGAAAGCCUGAUCCAGCAAUGCCGCGUGUGUGAAGAAGGCCUUCGGGUUGUAAAGCACUUUUGUCCGGAAAGAAAUCCUCUGGGUUAAUACCUCGGGGGGAUGACGGUACCGGAAGAAUAAGCACCGGCUAACUACGUGCCAGCAGCCGCGGUAAUACGUAGGGUGCAAGCGUUAAUCGGAAUUACUGGGCGUAAAGCGUGCGCAGGCGGUUUUGUAAGACGGAUGUGAAAUCCCCGGGCUUAACCUGGGAACUGCAUUCGUGACUGCAAGGCUAGAGUAUGGCAGAGGGGGGUAGAAUUCCACGUGUAGCAGUGAAAUGCGUAGAGAUGUGGAGGAAUACCGAUGGCGAAGGCAGCCCCCUGGGCCAAUACUGACGCUCAUGCACGAAAGCGUGGGGAGCAAACAGGAUUAGAUACCCUGGUAGUCCACGCCCUAAACGAUGUCAACUAGUUGUUGGGGAUUCAUUUCCUUAGUAACGUAGCUAACGCGUGAAGUUGACCGCCUGGGGAGUACGGUCGCAAGAUUAAAACUCAAAGGAAUUGACGGGGUCAUAGCUGUUUCCU
rnacentral:rRNA from 1 species